GACCCUGCUAGGAAUCGCAUCAAACAGAAGGCAGCCUUCCACCAGCGCAGGAAGCACCCACCCGCCAAGGUCCUUGCCCGUUCUCCGCACGUUAUGAAGACGCGACCGGAAUAGUUAUAAUGCAAACUUGGACCCGGGUAAGUCAUGAAUAUGUGUAUUAAAAU